AUGCGUCUGGCAAUGGAUAAUUCUCUCAUGAAAGCUCUGCCCUUCUCAUCCGCCUGGCUGCCGGGGGAUCGCUGGCCGGAGACGUGCCUCCGCCUGCCUCUGCUGCUGCUCCUCCUCCCAGUAACUCUCAUUAUCCUUCUCCUCUUCUUCCCCUCCUCCCCACCCCUGCCCCCGCCGCACCCCAACAUCCCCUGCGGCGCCGCCCCCGCCGACGCCACCGCCGGCCGCUGGGUCCCGACCCCAUCUCCCCCGCCGCCUCCCCUCUACAACCAGUCCUGCCCCUUCCACCGCAAAAGCUGGAACUGCCUCCGCAACGGCCGUCCACCGGUCGCCGCGUUCUCCUGGGCCCCCUCCCGCUGCGGCUCCGGCGCCGUCGUCCCGAGGGUCGACCCCGCCGCUUUCCUCGCGGCGGCCAGGGGGCGCCGGAUCGGGUUCGUGGGGGACUCGCUGUCGGAGAACAUGGCCAUCGCGCUGCUCUGCGCGCUCCGGUCGGGCGACGCCGGCGUGCGGGACUGGAAGCGGCGCGGCGCGUGGCGGGGUGGUCACUUCCCCCGGGAGGACGUCGUCGUCGGGUACCACCGCGCCGUGCUCCUCGCCAAGUACACGUGGCAGCCUGUAGAGAAUUCUGAACCUCGGAAGGACGGAAUAAAGGGAACUUACAGAGUUGAUGUCGACAUUCCUGCUGACGAUUGGAUAAAUAUCACCAAGUUUUAUGACGUGCUCAUUUUCAACACUGGACACUGGUGGGGUUCGUAUAAAUUCCCAAAAGAGACCCCCCUUGUUUUCUACCGAGGAGGAAAACCAAUUGAGCCUCCACUCAGCAUCUUUGAUGGGCUGAAGGUAGCCCUCAAAAGUAUGGGCUCCUACAUCAAAAGGGAGGUCCCCGGUAAAACCCUGAAGCUGUGGCGCACACAGUCACCCAGGCACUUUGAUGGAGGUGAAUGGAAUCACAACGGCAGCUGCGUGUCUAACAGGCUCCUACAACAACAUGAGCUCGAUUCCUGGUUCGAUCCGAGGUUUGGGGGAGUGAACAAAGACGCGAGACUGGUGAACUCAUUGCUCCAGGAAGCGCUAGUCGAGACGGACAUCCAGCUGCUCAACCUGACCUACAUGAGCGAGUUCCGCGCCGACGACCAUCCGGCUGUCUGGCUCGAGAAGAAGGAUGAGGCGGCUGUCUGGGGGCAGGACUGCAUGCACUGGUGCCUGCCCGGCGUACCGGACACGUGGGUCGACAUCUUGGCGGCAAGGAUCUUGCUCUACUUCAAGCAGGGCAAAGGUUGA
rnacentral:rRNA from 1 species